ensembl:lncRNA
AUAUAUAUAAGUGUAUAAAUAAACGUAAUCUAUUUUUAAUACAAACAAAAAUGUUUCACUCUGAUAACAUUUCUCUAAUGAUAGAAUUGUGUGUUUCAUUGCAGUUUUUUAUAAUCACUUUGCUGCUAAUUUCAGAACCGUGAUGCCAUUUUUCACUUGUUCAAUACGACUCAAUGUAACAUCAAAGUACUAUUUCAAAAUGCAAAUCCUACGUUACAGUCGAAAUGAUCGUCCAUUCAUUUCAUUACAAUGAACUAUCAAGAGAUACAACACCUCUGAACAAUAAGUACUUGCUGCGUGAGCCUCAGUGGAUCGUUCUGUGGAAACUGACCAACAAUAUCGUUUAGAUCGUGAGGUUUCAAAAUAAUGGGACCACCUUUCACACCACGCUGCAGCCCUGGUGAUUACUUGACCAGUUCUGCCAAGACAGCAGGACGUGUGGUCGGGCGCAGGGCCCCGUUGGCUCACGUGAUGCAGCUCUCGUCCCCGAUGAGCUGGACCAGGUCUGUAGAGCCGACGGUGUGAUGAUGUCAUCGUGUGGGACAACGUCAGCUUCCACCAUCUCAAACGGUGCAUGUUUUUAUGCACAAGCAUCUACCAGCCUGUAUUUGCCCCCAUGCGCUCCUUUCCUCAACCCGACUGAGGAGCUCUUCUCCUCAUGGAGGUGAAGGUGUACGACAGGUGUCCUCACCAAACAAGCAACCCGUCUCCAGGCCUGGAUGAGGCACGCAGACCAGCGUCACGCCUGGAUGAAGCAAGCGGUUUGGCUAAAGUCCGUUGGCCGGUUGCACAAGUCCGGGUUGAUGAAAAUGAAGAUGUGUGGUAAUCAAAACCGUUUCCAUCCCAUGUGAGGAACGGCACAGUUUACAUUACACUUUUAUCCAAAGCGACUUACAUUGCAUUUUUAUUUCAUGGCUUCUACAUGUUUUGCCCGGGGAGCAACUAUGGGUCUGGUGUCUUGCUCAGGGACACUUCGACGUGGGACAUAGGGCAGCCGGGGGUCGAACCACCAACCUUGUGCUUCCCAGUGUGAUUCCACUGUGUGUACUAUUCUUUCUACUACAGUAGUACUUCUACAGGGAUGUAUUUACAUGUAGUAUGAUGAAACCUGUACUUUGUACAGCAUAUUGAAUGAUUGUCUCGUGUGCAGGAGAUCUGAACACCAAUGAGAGUGCAGAAGGACAUCAAGGCUCUGGAGGUGGUAUCAAAGUGAUCGUGGUUAACGAUGAACAUAGAACCCAUAAAACCAACGUGAAACCAUCUUCAUCAUAAUGAAUAACUACGAAUAAUAAAGCUCAUCAGACGGUUUAAACAGGUUUAAAAGUGCCUCACCUGCUUUAGUUCACCUGCAGGAAAACACCGUCACACUUCCUGGACUGAUCAGUACGGCAGUGUGUGUGUGUGUGUGUGUGUGUAAGAGUCUGUGUGUGUGUGUGUUCCUGUGUGUGUGUGUGUGUGUAAGAGUCUGUGUGUGUGUAAGAGUGUGUGU